AUAGAACACUAGGGGAGCUUUAAAUAGCUGAGACGAAUCAUUCGGACCCUUUGAACCUGAACUGGUUAAUACUAGCGGAGGGAAGUGGUGUGAAGGCGAA
rnacentral:ncRNA from 2 species